rnacentral:rRNA from 1 species
UCCCGGUGUAGCGGUGAAAUGCGUAGAUAUCGGGAAGAACACCAGUGGCGAAGGCGNUCUGCUGGGCCAUCACUGACGNUCAUGGACGAAAGCCAGGGGAGCGAAAGGGAUUAGAUACCCCUGUAGUCCUGGCCGUAAACGAUGAACACUAGGUGUCGGGGGAAUCGACCCCCUCGGUGUCGUAGCCAACGCGUUAAGUGUUCCGCCUGGGGAGUACGCACGCAAGUGUGAAACUCAAAGGAAUUGACGGGGGCCCGCACAAGCGGUGGAGUAUGUGGUUUAAUUCGAUGCAACGCGAAGAACCUUACCAGGGUUUGACAUCCUGCGAAUCUCUUGGAAACAGGAGAGUGCCUUCGGGAACGCAGUGACAGGUGGUGCAUGGCUGUCGUCAGCUCGUGUCGUGAGAUGUUGGGUUAAGUCCCGCAACGAGCGCAACCCACGUCUUUAGUUGCCAGCAUUUAGUUGGGCACUCUAGAGAGACUGCCGGUGAUAAACCGGAGGAAGGUGUGGAUGACGUCAAGUCAUCAUGCCCCUUACAUCCUGGGCUACACACGUACUACAAUGCUACGGACAAAGGGCAGCAAGUUCGCGAGGACAAGCAAAUCCCAUAAACCGUGGCUCAGUUCAGAUCGUAGGCUGCAACUCGCCUACGUGAAGGCGGAAUCGCUAGUAAUCGCAGGUCAGCAUACUGCGGUGAAUACGUUCCCGGGCCUUGUACACACCGCCCGUCACACCAUGGAAGUUGGCCACGCCCGAAGCCGUUACUCCAACCCUUGUGGAGGAGGACGUCGAAGGUGGGGCUGAUGACUGGGGUGAAGUCGUAACAAGGUAACC